rnacentral:rRNA from 1 species
UGAGGAAUAUUGGACAAUGGGCGAAAGCCUGACCCAGCAACGCCGCGUGAAGGAUGAAGUAUUUCGGUAUGUAAACUUCGAAAGAAUAGGAAGAAUAAAUGACGGUACUAUUUAUAAGGUCCGGCUAACUACGUGCCAGCAGCCGCGGUAAUACGUAGGGACCAAGCGUUGUUCGGAUUUACUGGGCGUAAAGGGCGCGUAGGCGGCAAUUCAAGUCAUCUGUGAAAUCUCCGGGCUUAACUCGGAACGGUCAGAUGAUACUGCUUUGCUAGAGUGCAGAAGGGGCAAUCGGAAUUCUUGGUGUAGCGGUGAAAUGCGUAGAUAUCAAGAGGAACACCUGAGGUGAAGACGGGUUGCUGGGCUGACACUGACGCUGAGGCGCGAAAGCCAGGGGAGCAAACGGGAUUAGAUACCCCGGUAGUCCCUGAGCGGGCUGGCAAGGCGCAU